UACGUAGGGUGCAAGCGUUGUCCGGAAUUAUUGGGCGUAAAGAGCUCGUAGGCGGUCUGUCGCGUCGGCUGUGAAAACACGGGGCUCAACUCCGUGCCUGCAGUCGAUACGGGCAGACUAGAGUUCGGUAGGGGAGACUGGAAUUCCUGGUGUAGCGGUGAAAUGCGCAGAUAUCAGGAGGAACACCAGUGGCGAAGGCGGCUCACUGGACCGGUACUGACGCUGAGGCGCGAAAGCGUGGGGAGCAAACGGG
rnacentral:rRNA from 1 species